GUACCUUCCCUAGGAGCGGCAAGCAGGUGGGUGUGGCGGGGCCUCUGCAAUCCCAACAUUCCCUUCGUGCCGCCAUCAAUAUGGCGGCGCCCAUCUUUCGGUCCUUUUCCUGGGGCCGUUGGUCUGGUACCCUAAAUCUCUCAGUAUUCUUGCCCUUGGGGCUGCGUAAGGCCCACUCGGGCCCUCAGGGGUUACUGGCAGCGCAGAAGGCUCGAGGUCUGUUCAAGGACUUCUUCCCGGAGACGGGGACGAAAAUAGAACUCCCAGAGCUCUUCGACCGUGGCACGGCGAGUUUUCCCCAAACCAUUUACUGUGGCUUCGACCCCACGGCAGACUCGCUUCAUGUGGGCCAUCUUCUUGCGCUGCUGGGCCUGUUUCAUUUGCAGCGAGCCGGCCACAACGUGAUCGCGCUGGUGGGAGGCGCCACGGCGCGCCUGGGAGACCCGAGCGGCCGUACCAAGGAACGCGAGGCGCUGGAGACAGAGCGCGUGCGAGCCAACGCGCGCGCCCUGCGCCUAGGGCUUGAGGCUCUGGCGGCUAAUCACCAGCAGCUUUUCACUGAUGGGCGCUCCUGGGGCAGCUUCACUGUGCUGGACAACUCGGCCUGGUACCAGAAGCAGCACCUGGUGGACUUUCUGGCGACAGUUGGGGGUCACUUCCGCAUGGGGACGCUGCUGAGCCGGCAGAGCGUGCAGCUGCGGCUCAAGAGCGCGGAGGGCAUGAGCUUGGCCGAAUUCUUUUACCAGGUGCUCCAGGCCUAUGACUUCUAUUACCUCUUCCAGCGUUAUGGAUGCAGGGUCCAGCUGGGCGGAUCUGAUCAACUAGGCAACAUUAUGUCUGGAUAUGAGUUCAUCAACAAGUUGACUGGAGAAGAUGUAUUUGGAAUCACCGUUCCUCUAAUUACAAGUACAACUGGAGCAAAGCUGGGAAAGUCUGCUGGCAACGCUGUUUGGCUAAACAGAGAUAAGACAUCUCCAUUUGAAUUGUAUCAAUUCUUUGUCAGGCAACCAGACGAUUCAGUGGAAAGGUACCUGAAGCUGUUCACUUUCCUGCCCCUUCCAGAGAUUGAUCAUAUCAUGCAGCUGCAUGUCAAAGAGCCAGAAAGGUGGGGUGCUCAGAAACGACUGGCAGCAGAAGUAACAAAGCUUGUUCAUGGACGAGAAGGAUUGGAUUCUGCUAAAAGGUGUACACAAGCCCUUUAUCACAGUAGCGUAGAUGCACUGGAGGUCAUGUCUGAUCAGGAGUUAAAAGAGUUAUUUAAAGAAGCUCCAUUUUCUGAAUUUUUUCUCGAUCCUGGAACAAGUGUCCUAGAUACCUGCCGCAAAGCAAAUGCCAUUCCAGAUGGUCCCCGAGGGUAUCGAAUGAUAACAGAAGGCGGAGUCAGCAUAAAUCACCGACAAGUAACAAAUCCUGAGAGUGUUUUAGUUGUUGGACAACAUAUUCUCAAGAAUGGACUUUCCUUACUUAAAAUAGGAAAAAGAAAUUUCUACAUAAUAAAAUGGCUUCAGUUAUGAUGAAAAGUCCUUCAUGUUGUCCAAAUAAACUUAACCAUCCUUCAUUCUCAAGACCUGAAGGGCUGGCUCCAGAACUUAGACCUUUGCUUAUGCAAAUCAGAAAAAUAGAAUGGACUAGGACUCAGUGCAGCAGAGCAUGGCUUUAGUGUUCAAAUUCUAGCCAUUACUACCUGGAUUACUUGGAGCAAGUCACUGUCUUCAUACGCAAAAAUGGAGGUGUUAUAAUACCUUGCUGAACUGUCAGAAUCUGGUAGGAAAAAAGUCAUAAAAUGUUUGGUAUUCUAUACAGUUAUGUUCCAAAAUAGAUUUAGGUAUUAAACAGCUCUUUCUUUUCUCUCUCUCCCUUUCUCUGGGAGAAAAGUUAAGAAUUCAUUUUUUGACAAACUUUAACGUCAUUUCAUACCAGCAAUUUUAUUUACACAGCAAGAACAUACAGGUAUGUUAUAAAUGUCAGAGAUCAUCUCUACAUUUCAGAUCUUGAUUCAGUUUAAGGGCCAACAAAGGAAGGUUUUUCUCUUUCCAUUAAGUUUCUUGCCUCCGAUUUUUGUUGUACAAAGCGUGUAGUACUAGCAAGUGCAUUACCAUAGCAUGUCUUUAAUUUUCCAUUUGAAAUCUGAUAUGCUUGAGAAAAGUGCAUCAAAAAUUUUUGUUUUUGUUUUUGUUUU